CUGUGUUAAACCAAUAAGGUGUCUCUCAUUUCUCUUCCCAGAAUUUUCUCCUUCCUGGAUGUGGUCACUCUGUGUCGCUGUGCUCAAGUUUCCAGGGCAUGGAAUGUUCUGGCCCUGGAUGGCAGUAACUGGCAGCGAAUUGACCUGUUUGAUUUCCAGAGGGACAUUGAGGGCCGGGUGGUCGAGAACAUUUCCAAGAGAUGUGGGGGAUUCCUGCGGAAGCUGAGCCUGAGGGGCUGCCUGGGAGUGGGGGACAACGCCUUAAGGUAGAGCUGCACCUUCUUCCCGC